rnacentral:rRNA from 1 species
GAGUUUGAUCGUGGCUCAGAUUGAACGCUGGCGGCAUGCUUUACACAUGCAAGUCGAACGGUAACGCGGGGGCAACCCUGGCGACGAGUGGCGAACGGGUGAGUAAUACAUCGGAACGUGUCCUGGAGUGGGGGAUAGCUCGGCGAAAGCCGGAUUAAUACCGCAUACGCUCUGAGGAGGAAAGCGGGGGACCUUCGGGCCUCGCGCUGCGGGAGCGGCCGAUGUCGGAUUAGCUAGUUGGUGGGUAAAGGCCUACCAAGGCGACGAUCCGUAGCUGGUCUGAGAGGAUGAUCAGCCACACUGGGACUGAGACACGGCCCAGACUCCUACGGGAGGCAGCAGUGGGGAAUUUUGGACAAUGGGGGCAACCCUGAUCCAGCCAUGCCGCGUGAGUGAAGAAGGCCUUCGGUUGU